rnacentral:lncRNA from 1 species
UUUGAGUCUAACUACUGGUGUUGAAACUGCACGAGAAAACCCAACUGCAGUAGUUACUGAGCUACAGCAGUUGGAACUAUGUUUUAAAUUGAUAGUAGUUUUAACUGCAGCAAUCGAAAAAAAUAACUUCAAAUAAAACAGAAACUUACCUCCCUAAUUAUUUAUUAAAUAAAAAAUAUAUUUCUUUUCUAUAUUAGAGGUAAUGCCACCACCGUGAAUGUAAAGUGAUAAAAUCUUUCAAAUGCACUUGUCGACUAUAUAUAAUUAAGUAAAUAAUUUAUA